GCGCGUGUAGCUCAGUUGGUAGAGCGCGGAGCUUAUACCUCCGUGGUCCCAGGUUCGAGUCCUGGCACGCGCACAA
rnacentral:tRNA from 1 species